AGCCUUGCAUUUAUGCAUGUGACUAUUUUUUAAAUAUGCUGACAAACAUAAACUUGGAAGUAUGGAAGAACCUCCAUCUUAACAAUGGCCACUUUCCAAAGAACAGUAAGGGACAUAUAUUUAACAAUCAUCUGCCACAGAAGUAAUGACUGCAGGAAUCACAAAAGAUGGUGAUAAUAAGUGGAAGGUUAUGCCUUGAAGUCCUGCCAGUGAAAUUCAAUUUAAUU
rnacentral:lncRNA from 1 species